rnacentral:rRNA from 1 species
UACGUAGGGCGCAAGCGUUGUCCGGAAUUAUUGGGCGUAAAGAGCUCGUAGGCGGCUUGUCACGUCGGAUGUGAAAGCCCGAGGCUUAACCUCGGGUCUGCAUUCGAUACGGGCUAGCUAGAGUGUGGUAGGGGAGAUCGGAAUUCCUGGUGUAGCGGUGAAAUGCGCAGAUAUCAAGGAGGAACACCGGUGGCGAAGGCGGAUCUCUGGGCCAUUACUGACGCUGAGGAGCGAAAGCGUGGGGAGCGAACAGG